AGCAGUCGCCGCGGGAAUACAGAGGGUGCGAGCGUUAAUCGGAUUUACUGGGCGUAAAGCGUGCGUAGGCGGCUUCUUAAGUCGGAUGUGAAAUCCCUGAGCUUAACUUAGGAAUUGCAUUCGAUACUGGGAAGCUAGAGUAUGGGAGAGGAUGGUAGAAUUCCAGGUGUAGCGGUGAAAUGUGUAGAGAUCUGGAGGAAUACCGAUGGCGAAGGCAGCCAUCUGGCCUAAUACUGACGCUGAGGUACGAAAGCAUGGGGAGCAAACAGGAUUAGAUACCCGUGUAGUCCCUGUCUCUUAUAC
rnacentral:rRNA from 1 species